CUUUCCUGUCUGCCUUCACACGCUGUGUUUAUCUACUUACUUAUGGAAAUCCAGGCCUUCUUAGUAGGCAGAGCAGAGAAACAGCUUCUUGUCUCUCUGGGAAACUGCACAAAUCAUUCCAUUCAGGCACAAGCCUCCAUCGGGCUGCUGAAGUCUAACUAAGAUGUCUUUAACCCUUCCUCCACCCAGCCCUGUCAUCUGAGUCAGCUCUCAGAAACAAGAGACGCUCAGAGAACAAAGAGGUUCCCAGAGGAGGGAUUUUGUUGCAAGCUACAAGAGCAGGAGAGGAGGAAGCAGCCGCAGAGCCAGAAAUUGGAAGAAGGAGCCCGUGAAGGUCGUGCGUGGCGGUAAAGCCGUGGAGGACUUCUUGUGUGCACACACCUACUUGCCUCAGGACGUGAGUUGGUUCUUCUUUACACAGAAUCCUGAAAUGCAGACCCUGAGCCGGAGGCUGAGGCUCCUGCCUGACGGGCCGGCCCUCGCUGAGGUGGCUUGUCAGCACCCGUGUCUGGGGGUCCCCGUGCACAUCCCCACCAACACUUGCGACUAUGGUUUUUUACACUUUUUUCCUAAUAUAAGAGGGAAGAAAAAUCUCAAGUUUGUACUGGACAAUCUUUUAAAGUUUUUUGGCAA
rnacentral:lncRNA from 1 species